CCACCGCGGUUAGACGAGAGGCCCUAGCUGAUAUUAUAACGGCGUAAAGGGUGGUUAAGGAUACAUAAAAAUAAAGCCGAAUGGCCCCUCGGCCGUCAUACGCUUCUAGGUGUCUGAAGCCCUAAUACGAAAGUAGCUUUAAUAAAAUAACCUGACCCCACGAAAGCUGAGAAACAAACUGGGAUUAGAUACCCCACUAUGCUCAGCCAUAAACUUAGAUAUCCAACUACAAUUAGAUAUCCGCCAGGGUACUACGAGCAUUAGCUUAAAACCCAAAGGACCUGACGGUGUCUCAGACCCCCCUAGAGGAGCCUGUUCUAGAACCGAUAACCCCCGUCUAACCUCACCACUUCUAGCCUUACCAGCCUAUAUACCGCCGUCGUCAGCUUACCCUGUGAAGGGAAAAAAGUAAGCAAAGUGGGCACAACCCAGAACGUCAGGUCGAGGUGUAGCGCAUGUAGUGGGAAGAAAUGGGCUACAUUUUCUACCACAGAAUAUUACGAACAUGCACCAUGAAAUAGUGCCCGAAGGAGGAUUUAGUAGUAAAAGGGAAAUAGAGUGUCCCUUUGAACCCGGCUCUGAGACGCGUACACACCGCCCGUCACUCUCCCCUGUCAAAACGCAUUAUAAAUACUUAAUACAAAAGCACCGACAAGGGGAGGCAAGUCGUAACAUG
rnacentral:rRNA from 1 species